UACGGGGGGAGCAAGCGUUGUUCGGAUUUACUGGGCGUAAAGGGCGCGUAGGCGGCGCAACAAGUCACUUGUGAAAUCUCCGGGCUUAACCCGGAGCGGCCAAGUGAUACUGUCGUGCUAGAGUGCGGAAGGGGCUACUGGAAUUCUCGGUGUAGCGGUGAAAUGCGUAGAUAUCGGAGGAGACACCGGUGGCGAAAGCGGCUCUCUGGAACGGUACUGACGCUGAGACGCGAAAGCGUGGGGAGCGAACAGG
rnacentral:rRNA from 1 species